GAAUGCUGACAUAAGUAACGAUAAAGCGGGUGAAAAGCCCGCUCGCCGGAAGACCAAGGGUUCCUGUCCAACGUUAAUCGGGGCAGGGUGAGUCGACCCCUAAGGCGAGGCCGAAAGGCGUAGUCGAUGGGAAACGGGUUAAUAUUCCCGUACUUGGUGUUACUGCGAAGGGGGGACGGAGAAGGCUAUGUUGGCCGGGCGACGGUUGUCCCGGUUUAAGCGUGUAGGUGUGUGUUCCAGGUAAAUCCGGUUCACUUUAACACUGAGGCGUGACGACGAGGCACUACGGUGCUGAAGCAACAAAUGCCCUGCUUCCAGGAAAAGCCUCUAAGCAUCAGGUAACAUCAAAUCGUACCCCAAACCGACACAGGUGGUCAGGUAGAGAAUACCAAGGCGCUUGAGAGAACUCGGGUGAAGGAACUAGGCAAAAUGGUGCCGUAACUUCGGGAGAAGGCACGCUGACACGUAGGUGAAGUGAUUUACUCAUGGAGCUGAAGUCAGUCGAAGAUACCAGCUGGCUGCAACUGUUUAUUAAAAACACAGCACUGUGCAAACACGAAAGUGGACGUAUACGGUGUGACGCCUGCCCGGUGCCGGAAGGUUAAUUGAUGGGGUCAGCGCAAGCGAAGCUCCUGAUCGAAGCCCCGGUAAACGGCGGCCGUAACUAUAACGGUCCUAAGGUAGCGAAAUUCCUUGUCGGGUAAGUUCCGACCUGCACGAAUGGCGUAAUGAUGGCCAGGCUGUCUCCACCCGAGACUCAGUGAAAUUGAACUCGCUGUGAAGAUGCAGUGUACCCGCGGCAAGACGGAAAGACCCCGUGAACCUUUACUAUAGCUUGACACUGAACAUUGAGCCUUGAUGUGUAGGAUAGGUGGGAGGCUUUGAAGUGUGGACGCCAGUCUGCAUGGAGCCGACCUUGAAAUACCACCCUUUAAUGUUUGAUGUUCUAACGUGGACCCGUUACCCGGGUUGCGGACAGUGUCUGGUGGGUAGUUUGACUGGGGCGGUCUCCUCCUAAAGAGUAACGGAGGAGCACGAAGGUUGGCUAAUCCUGGUCGGACAUCAGGAGGUUAGUGCAAUGGCAUAAGCCAGCUUGACUGCGAGCGUGACGGCGCGAGCAGGUGCGAAAGCAGGUCAUAGUGAUCCGGUGGUUCUGAAUGGAAGGGCCAUCGCUCAACGGAUAAAAGGUACUCCGGGGAUAACAGGCUGAUACCGCCCAAGAGUUCAUAUCGACGGCGGUGUUUGGCACCUCGAUGUCGGCUCAUCACAUCCUGGGGCUGAAGUAGGUCCCAAGGGUAUGGCUGUUCGCCAUUUAAAGUGGUACGCGAGCUGGGUUUAGAACGUCGUGAGACAGUUCGGUCCCUAUCUGCCGUGGGCGCUGGAGAACUGAGGGGGGCUGCUCCUAGUACGAGAGGACCGGAGUGGACGCAUCACUGGUGUUCGGGUUGUCAUGCCAAUGGCACUGCCCGGUAGCUAAAUGCGGAAGAGAUAAGUGCUGAAAGCAUCUAAGCACGAAACUUGCCCCGAGAUGAGUUCUCCCUGAGACUUAAAGUCUCCUGAAGGAACGUUGAAGACGACGAC
rnacentral:rRNA from 1 species